rnacentral:lncRNA from 1 species
AUCUUUGAUCCCUGUUUCUUUGGACCCUUAAACAUUUCUUCGAAAAUGUCAAAUCAAAUCCGACGGCCGGACAGAUCCACGCCACCAUCAUCAACUUCACCGACGACAUCUACAUCAUUGCCAGUUUGAUACUUUCGAAAGAAGAGGGGAGGGGAAUCUUUGAUUCCCCGUUUCUUCGGACCCUUCAACAUUUUUUCGAAAAUGUCAAAUCAAGUUCGACGGCCAAACAAAUCCGCACUACUGUCAUCAACUUCUCGACAUUAUCUAUAACACCGACGGUUUGAUACUUUCGAAAGAAGAGGGGAGGGGAAUCUUUGAUUUCCCGUUUCUUCGGACCCUUCAACAUUUCUUCGAAAAUGUCAAAUCAAAUCCGACGGCCGAACAGAUCCACGCCACCGUUAUCAACUUCGUCGACGUCAUCUGCAGCAUUGCAAGAAGAAG